rnacentral:rRNA from 1 species
UAAAGAGGGUGAGAGCGUUAAUCGGAAUUACUGGGCGUAAAGCGCACGUAGGUGGCGACGUAAGUCGGGUGUGAAAGCCCCGGGCUCAACCUGGGAAUUGCAUUCGAGACUGCAUUGCUGGAGUACGGAAGAGGAGGGCGGAAUUCCCGGUGUAGCGGUGAAAUGAGUAGAUAUCGGGAGGAACAUCAGGGGCGAAGGCGGCCCUCUGGUCCAGUACUGACACUCAAGUGCGAAAGCGUGGGGAGCAAACAGG